rnacentral:rRNA from 1 species
GUAGGGAAUCUUGCGCAAUGGGCGAAAGCUUGACGCAGCGACACCGUGUGAAGGAUGAAGGCCUUCGGGUCGUAAACUUCUGUCAAUUGGGGACGAAGGUAGUAGGGUCAAUACCCCGAAUACUGACGGUACCCAAUAAGGAAGUCUCGGCUAACUCCGUGCCAGCAGCCGCGGUAAGACGGAGGAGGCAAGCGUUGUCCGGAAUCAUUGGGCGUAAAGAGCGCGUAGGCUGUUUUUCAAGUCAUAUGUGAAAACCUCAGGCUCAACUUGAGGACUGCAUAUGAAACUGGAUAACUUGAGUGCAGUAGGGGAAAGCGGAAUUCCUGGUGUAGCGGUGAAAUGCGCAGAUAUCAGGAAGAACACCAGUAGCGAAGGCGGCUUUCUGGGCUGCUACUGACGCUGAGGCGCGAAAGCUAGGGGAGCAAACAGGAUUAGAUACCCCGGUAGUCC